rnacentral:sRNA from 1 species
CCCGGCACGGAUGCCGGAAAACUUUAUGUAACCGAGUUUGGCGAAGACAAACUCGAGGUAAAAAACGUACAGGGAUGUACGUUUUUUACACCUU